rnacentral:misc_RNA from 1 species
AAAAUAAUCCUACCCUUUGUGAAUUUUGUUUGUUUGAAUAAUUUUUUUUUUUAAAAAAUUAUUGGAGUCUUUCCCUUUAGAGUUUGCUUUUGAGUUUGUAAAAGAAUUCGAAAACAUCUAAAGGGGAUGGUCAAUAAUUUUUUUUGAAAAAAGACAUUUUUUAAAAUUAAACUUUUUGUAUUCAUUUGUCUAAAAAUUAUUUUUAUAAUAUAAAAACAACUUUUGACGAUGGAUCUCUUGGUUCUCGCAACGAUGAAGAACGCAGCAAAAUGCGAUAAGUAGUGUGAAUUGCAGAAUACGUGAAUCAUCGAAUCUUUGAACGCAUAUUGCACUUUUUUAGUUUACUAAAAAAGUAUGUCUGUUUGAGUAUCAGUAAAAUAUUCUCAUAAAAAUCAUUGUAUUUUUAUGGUUAUGAGUGUUUUACAACGAUACAGGUUGUUUCACUUUAAAUUUUUUUUUAAUAUUGAAAUUUUUCUAAUUUUAAUAAUUAAAAUUGGAUAAAAUUUUCCCGUCAAAAGGAAUAACCUAAACAAUUUUAAAUGAUUAAUUUUAGCAAAAUUUUCGAAAAAGGAAAAUUUUUAUUAAAAUAACUUGAUCUCAAAUCAGAUAAGAGUACCCGCUGAACUUAAGCAUAUCAAUAAGCGGAGGAAAAGAAACUAACAAGGAUUCCCUUAGUAACGGCGAGUGAAGCGGGAAGAGCUCAAAUUUGAAAUCUUCAAGGUUUUACCUUGACGAAUUGUAGUUUAAAGAAGUGUUUUCUGCUGAAGUUUUGGUAAAAGUUCUUUGGAAUAGGACAUCAUAGAGGGUGAGAAUCCCGUAUUUGACCAUUAUUUUCAGCUUUGUGAUACACUUUCAAAGAGUCGGAUUGUUUGGGAAUGCAGUCCAAAAUGGGUGGUAAUUUCAUCUAAAGCUAAAUAUUGGCGAGAGACCGAUAGCGAACAAGUACCGUGAGGGAAAGAUGAAAAGAACUUUGAAAAGAGAGUUAAACAGUACGUGAAAUUGUCAAAAGGGAAGCGUUUGACACCAGUGUUGUUUUCUCGAAAAUCAAUUAAAAAUGGCUCGAUUUUGUAUUGCUGAGACCUUAAAAGCUCACUGUACAUUUUUCGUGUCUUUUUUAAUGCACUUUUCGUUUAACAAGUCAACAUCAGUUUCUUUUGUUGUAAAAGGGUCACUGGAAGGUGGCUUUCUUUUCGGAGAAAGUGUUUAUAGCCUUUGGCCUCUGCAAUCGAAGAGACUGAGGUCUGCAGCGUAGACUCUUCGGGUUAGAUACAUUUGUGCUAAGUUAUAGCUUUUUAUAGACAACUUGUUGACUAUAAUUAGUCUUGUAGCUUACUCGCUUAUGCUAUUU